ACGGCUGGGAGGAGGUUCAGAAUUCCAUCUGUAUGGCCUUGGGCAGGUACUAACUGUCCAUGUUAAAUGCAAAUGAAAAGCAAGGAACCCAGAUGAUUACUACACCUUCUGCUAGAGUGAUAGUUCUGCUGUCAUUUAGGUUUUCAUUCAAAUUAAAAUCCCAGCCGCCUUUUACAGACUAAACAUGAACUGAGCAGAAAAGACCAGUGCACAGCUAAGAACAUUAAUGUGGUGAUCUUGGUGUUAUUCUGUUAGGCCUGGGAAAUCUCUAGGUAUGAAGUUCCUCUCCUCUGAUAAGCUUUCUGAUGGGCAGUUUGGGAGCCCUUCAAAAGCAGGUUUCAAGCAGGCAAAAUUAGGACCAAGACAAAAUAAGCAAAACAAAGGUGAAGAAGAUAAAACAAAGAUUCCCAACAGAGUCUUUGGAGCAGAAAGCCAGACUAUUCUUUCCUGUUUUAAUUUCUCUCUCAAAAGAAGAACAAACUAUAGAAUAAAACUAAUACUAACA